rnacentral:rRNA from 1 species
UACGUAGGGUGCGAGCGUUGUCCGGAAUUAUUGGGCGUAAAGAGCUCGUAGGCGGUUUGUCGCGUCUGCUGUGAAAACCCGAGGCUCAACCUCGGGCCUGCAGUGGGUACGGGCAGACUAGAGUGCGGUAGGGGAGACUGGAAUUCCUGGUGUAGCGGUGAAAUGCGCAGAUAUCAGGAGGAACACCGGUGGCGAAGGCGGGUCUCUGGGCCGUAACUGACGCUGAGGAGCGAAAGCAUGGGGAGCGAACAGG